rnacentral:rRNA from 1 species
UCCGAUAGCGUAUAUUAAAGUUGCUGCUGGUAAAAAGCUCGUAGUUGGAUUUGGGUUUUCGGGCCGGCGGGCCGCCGCCUUCGAGCGGCGCGUCUCCCGCCGCGCCCCCGGAACCGCACGGUCGCAGAGGCCCCCGCGGUGCUCUUCAAUGAGUGUCCGCCGGUUCGGGUCGCCGAACGUUUACUUUGAAAAAAUUAGAGUGCUCCAGGCAGGCCGGUAAAGCGUUGUUUAUAAAAAAGACCCGCGCCUGAAUAGUCACGCAUGGAAUAAUGAAAGAGGACCGGUGGUCCUAUUUUGUUGGUUUUCGGGAUUUUCCGCCGUCAUGAUUAAGAGGGACGGCCGGGGGCAUUCGUACCGCGGCGCGAGAGGUGAAAUUCUAGGACCGCCGCGAGACGAACCGUUGCGAAAGCAUUUGCCAAGAAUGUUUUCCUUAAUCAAGAACGAAAGUCAGAGGUUCGAAGGCGAUCAGAUACCGCCCUAGUUCUGACCGUAAACGAUGCCACCUGACGAUCCGCCAGGGUUACUACCAUGACUCGGCGGGCAGCCCCCGGGAAACCCAAGCCUUCGGGUUCCGGGGGAAGUAUGGUUGCAAAGCUGAAACUUAAAGGAAUUGACGGAAGGGCACCACCAGGAGUGGAGCCUGCGGCUUAAUUUGACUCAACACGGGGAACCUCACCCGGCCCGGACACCGCGAGGAUUGACAGAUUGAGAGCUCUUUCUCGAUUCGGUGGGUGGU